AUUGAACGCUGGCGGCAUGCUUUACACAUGCAAGUCGAACGGUAACAGGUUAAGCUGACGAGUGGCGAACGGGUGAGUAAUGCAUCGGAACGUGCCCGAUCGUGGGGGAUAACGCAGCGAAAGCUGCGCUAAUACCGCAUACGAUCUGAGGAUGAAAGCGGGGGACCGUAAGGCCUCGCGCGAUCGGAGCGGCCGAUGUCAGAUUAGGUAGUUGGUGGGGUAAAGGCCCACCAAGCCGACGAUCUGUAGCUGGUGUGAGGGGACGACCAGCCCCACUGGGACUGAGACACGGCCCAGACUCCUACGGGAGGCAGCAGUGGGGAAUUUUGGACAAUGGGCGAAAGCCUGAUCCAGCAAUGCCGCGUGCAGGAAGAAGGCCUUCGGGUUGUAAACUGCUUUUGUACGGAGCGAAAAGGUCCUUUCUAAUACAAGGGGCUCAUGACGGUACCGUAAGAAUAAGCACCGGCUAACUACGUGCCAGCCGCCGCCGUAA
rnacentral:rRNA from 1 species